rnacentral:rRNA from 1 species
GACGAACGCUGGCGGCGUGCUUAACACAUGCAAGUCGAACGGAAAGGCCCUGCUUUUGUGGGGUGCUCGAGUGGCGAACGGGUGAGUAACACGUGAGUAACCUGCCCUUGACUUUGGGAUAACUUCAGGAAACUGGGGCUAAUACCGGAUAGGAGCUCCUGCUGCAUGGUGGGGGUUGGAAAGUUUCGGCGGUUGGGGAUGGACUCGCGGCUUAUCAGCUUGUUGGUGGGGUAGUGGCUUACCAAGGCUUUGACGGGUAGCCGGCCUGAGAGGGUGGCCGGCCACAUUGGGACUGAGAUACGGCCCAGACUCCUACGGGAGGCAGCAGUGGGGAAUAUUGCACAAUGGGCGGAAGCCUGAUGUAGCAACGCCGCGUGCGGGAUGACGGCCUUCGGGUUGUAAACCGCUUUCGCCUGUGACGAAGCGUGAGUGACGGUAAUGGGUAAAGAAGCACCGGCUAACUACGUG